CGGCUGGAAGGUCUUCGGGGCUCAGUCGGCCGGCUGCAACCCGAUCGCGGUGGCGCUGCACGCCGGCACCGACCAGAUCGUCCCGGUCAAGCCGACC
rnacentral:tRNA from 1 species